UAAAAGGGUUGGGUCGGUGUAUUCGCGCUUAAAUAACCUUCUUCACUCAUCCCUCUGGCUUCUCUACAAACACCAUAGAUACAUGUUUCUUUGAAGAAGAGGGUUUUAUUUGGAGGUUCUUUUUCUUCUAUCGACACCACCGUUUCCUCUUUCUUUCAUUCCCCGACGUUCAACAAUCCUCUGCGUUUCCCUCUUCCUCUGUUAGGUAUUUUAAAUUAGGCUAACAUCUUCAGGCCUCCCUUCAUCACUGGGGCUAUUGGGUUGUACCUUUAUUCUUUGUAGUUGUAGUAUGACGUCUGGUCCGAUGUCAGUUUGGUUCACCAUCAUCAUCGAUCAAGAAAACGAGUACAUGUCUUUCUCCUCUGAUUUCUAGGCUGCCACCUAAUAGAAAGCACCCAUCAAAUGAAGAUGAUUGGUCCAACAAUAGAUUUUUAGAGAUUGAAAAUUGAUUUUUGGGGGCAUAAGGAAAGUAAGCUUGAAUCUUAAUCAAAUGAGGAUACUUCCAAGAGGAAGUGAUGGGAUUAACUUACUUCAUGUUGAAUCAAUCAAAAAAGAUGCUGAAUAUUGCACAGAAACACCUUCAGUACUUAUUUAGUAUGCCUGGUAGAUCUUUACAUCAGGGAAGGAAAUGCCUCAUGGUGGAUUGAAAUGUUAAAAUCAAGUGGUCAAUAUAAAGAGGUGCUGAUGUAUACUUUCGUAUCUCUGAUGAGGAACCUCUUCAUUCAGCUGUGAUUAUUGUUGUUGUUACCUUUUAUUUUAGCCAAACGAAUUAUGUUAAGAAAGUAUGGAUUUCAUCUCAUUCUUUCUGGUGGUGAUCUGUACAAGAAAUGGGAUCAGGUCAUUCUAUGAGUAAUGGUGCAAUGAAUCCAAAGGUUCCAAAAGAAUUUUUUUUAGUCCACAAAGAGAGCAAGAGAAACACACUUGCACCUGAUCAUGAAUCAAAUCCAUGGGCAUUUUAUGUUUGGGCAAUUUUAGUAGGAUCUUAUACAAUUCAACAUAUGCAAAGAGGCAGUAUGUUGUCUCAGUUAAAACAUCCGAAUACAUGUCUUUCAAAAACCAAUGGAAGAGUAUUUCUCCGGAACAGGCUAAAAGGUUUACCAAAAUUAGAGAAAGGGAGGGUUUGAUCGAGAAUGAUGUGGUAAGGACUUGACAGCUCAUUGUUGUUCUAUGAGGGUGAUGGUAAUCCAAAUGUAUGCAUUUUGCAUGAUAUAUUGUUGACUUACUCGUGCUACAACUUUGAUCUUGGUUAUUGCCAGGGCUUGAGUGAUUUCUCUCCACUAUCCUUACUCAUCAUGAAAGAUGAAUCACAAGCUUUCUGCUCAUUUCACAACUACUUCAAACAAAACGACUGCUUCUGUUUCUACUGGAUUCUGAUAUAAUUCAAAAAGGCAAGAAAUGAUGGGAUUAACUUACUUCAUGUUGAUUCAAUCAAAUAAAGAUGUUGAAUAUUGCAUGGAAAACACCUUCAGCAGUUAUUUAGUGGACCCUUUCUUAUUUAGCUUUUCUGUUAAUGUUUAAAGGUACAUUAUUGAAUCUCAGAAAAGGGUAUUGGGUGAUUAUGCCUUCAUGUUAUGAAAUUAUGAACUUGCUUUAUCAAAUUGCCACUGAUUACAACCUGACAAAGCAUGGAAACAAUAUGAAUUGAUGUGCUUUUUUAUCAAAAAAAAUGUUGAAUAUCGCAUGAAAACGCCUUCAGAACUUAUUUGGUACACCUGGAAAUGAUGGGAUUAACAUACUUGAUGUUGUUGAAUCAAUCAAAAAAAGAUGUGCUUUUAUUCAGUGAAUUGGGACAUUAGGGAAGGAAAUGUUAAAAUCAAGUGGUCAAUAUAAAGAGAGGGUGUUUGUGUGUACUUUCUUAUCUCUGAUGAGGACCUCUUCAUUCAGCUGUUGUGCUUGAACAAGCAUCUUAUUGUUGUUACCUUUUGUUUUUUUAGCCAAACGAAUUAUGUUAAGAAAGUAUGGAUUUCAUCUCAUUCUUUCUGGUGGUGAUCUGUACAAGAAACGGAGGGGAUCAGUGGUCAAGCUUUUUGGAUUAUGAAGGCUGAGUCAUGGAUCCAGACGCUUUAAAACAGAGAAUAUUCUAUAGGGGCAAAAAGAGGUUUAUGCAUUCUUAGUGGGAUCUUAUUCAUACCAUUCAACAGUAUGUUGUCUCAGUUAAAAACAUUAGAGUACAUGACUAUCAAAAACCAAUUGCAGGUAAAUGACUAUUGUGCCCUCCAAGUUCUAUCACCCAAAUAUUAUAUUUAUUGCGAUUUAUAAAAAGGUUUACAGAAAUUAGAGAAAGGAAGGGUUUGAUUGAGAAAGAUGUGGUAUGAAAAUAACCAUACAGUUCAGAUGUGGUUUUUUUUUUUUUUUUUUUUUUUUAUUUAAGUAUUUUAUUUUUGUUUUUAAGGUAAUGAUAUAUUGUUGACUUACUCAUUCUACAACUUUGAUCUUGGUUAUUGACAGGUAACAUGCCACUAUUAUUAUUUAUAGAGUAAAUUACAAUUUCGUCCUUGUGAUAUUUCAAAACUUAUGGUUUUCAUCUAAGAUAUUUCAUUUGCUGUACAAUUGGUCAGUAAAGUAUAGUUUUGUUGAAAGUUUUCUCCAUGGUGGAACUGUUGGUGUUGCAAAAUGUUUGUGAAAUCCAAGUGAAAUAUGACUAUUUUGUCCCUCUCUUUUUUUAUCCUUCAUCCUGUAAACCUAAAAUUCCUCAACUUUAAUCUUAAACUCUAAUCAAACCAAUACCCAACAAUUAAGCUAAAACUAAAACAAAAUUAAGAUCCAAGGUACCAACAAAUUUAUUUAAAAAAACCAUGAACAGUAAACUAAAAAGAUUAAAGAUUGUUAGGUUAGAAUUAUUUUUAUUUUAUACUUUUGGAUCUUGAUUCUUCUUUAAUUUUUGGGUGUUGAUUGAAUUUGGUUUGAUUUUUAUGAUUUAAGAUGAAGGAGAUUUAGAAGAUGAAGAUAAGGGCAAAAAAAGUCAUUUUACUUUAUCUAAUUAGUCAUUUUACUUUGUGUUAUUUAUUUAUUUAUUUAUUAUACACACAAUAUUUUGCUAAUAAUUGAAAUAAAGAAUUUUUAUCUCACAAAACAUGAGUGAUCUCUCUCUCUCUCUCUCUCUCUCUCUCUCCAUUAUUAUUCAUCUUGAAAAAUGAUUCAUAAGCUUUCAGGUGUUUUAUUGGAAUGAUUUGGUCCAAAUUUCAACCAUGAUCAAAAAGGCAUGCACUCUCAACUCUUUCUUUGCGCUAUAAAAUGUCCUCCCUCUAUCUCAAUAUAUAACAAGGGUAUUUUGGUCUUUUAAUAAAGAGGGAGGAAUGAAUCAAAACUGGCAUUCUUUCUGCCUGCCCCUAUAAAUAAAUGGUUCAAGCCCAUCAAAUAUGAAAUACCAAGGAAUUUCACAAAGUUGCAUUCCGUCCGAAUUUUCAACCAAAGGCACCAUUCAAUGGAAUCUCGAAUUCCAAUCCCACCGGUAUCCACAAUUCCAGUUCCUAGCUGUGAUUAUCAAACAUGGAAUUUCAAGAAAUCCAACAUAAGUGUGUUCCAUCCAAAUUGUCAACCAAACACGUCAAGAAAUGGAAUCUCGAAUUCCAACUCUGCCAGAAUCCGCAAUUCCGUUUCUUAGCUGUGGUUUCUAACAUGUCUAUUAUUGUUUUGAUAGGGCAGCUGGUGGAACUACUCAACAGCCCAUUACACAACUGCUUUCUGUUUCUGUUGGAUUCUGAUCCAACUCAAAAGGCAAGUAAAUUUACUCUUCUACCCUCGCUAAUUAAAAAGUAUCACAUGGUUUCAGGGUAUUUGAAUACGAUAAAACAUUAAGGUUAUGGGAGGUGUUACGGACAAGGUAAUAAACCAAACUGUACUUUGCUGAUUACUAAAUAUACAUGUAAAAUGUCUAAUAAGGUAACAAUAAUAAAAAAAUCCUUUCCAUAUUGGCCUCAUAAGUUUGUAUGUUGCAACUGAAUGCUAUUUAGAUGCAAAGGUAUAUAACCUUCUAUUAAAACAUUAUACUUUCAUAAUCAAAUCUAUUAAGACACUGUAAUUUUAUUAUUUUUCCUAGUCACUCUACUUCCACAAACUAAACAUGUUUGUUUUUGGUUACUAGUUAUAGCAUUAUAGCUUUAAUUUUUUUUUUUUUUUUAUCAAGACUUUAUUUUGAAAAUCUGAACUUGCUUGAUUUUGGUAAACAUAUAUAGCAUUUUAUAUUCAAAAUCUAACAUAAUUAAAUGUUGUAAUUUGUAUUUCCUUUUCUUAUUAAGACAACAAACUUUGCAAAUUUUUUACCUUUGAACUUUUUCUUAUUAAAACUUUACACUUGGAAAAUCUAAUAUUAUUAGACAUUAUACUUUUUUUCCUACAUAGAUAAUGUACUUUGGAAAUCUAGACAACUACAACAUAGUACUUUUAAUCUGGCCUAUUAAGAUAUUUUCUUCUAUUUUUUUUUCCUAUUAAGAAAAUGUUUUUUAAAAUCUAACCUAUAUAUAUAUAUAUAUAUAUAUAUAUAUAUAUAUAUAUAUAUAUAUAUAUACACACACACACGAAAACACAAAUGAUUUGUGAAAAGGAAAACAACCAUUAAGGAUGAGACACAUGUAUAUUUGAAAUAAAAAUAAAUGUUGUAUUAAGUUAAUUUAAAAAUAUACUCGGAAGGGUAAAUUUGGAAUUUGCAUUAACCGCAUUAAAACUUUAUACUGACUUUUAUACUUAGAAAAUCUAACAUAUUUAGACAUUUUACUUUUAUUGUUUCCCUACUUAGACACUAUACUUGAAAAUUUUAGACAAUUAUAACAUUGUACUUUGAAAGUCUAGACAAUUGUAAAAUAUAACCUAUAAAGAUUUUUUUUUCUUAUAAUCUUUUACUAUUAAGCCAUUGUACUUUGAAAAUCUAAGCAUCUAUGAUUUAUGUUCCCAUCACUAACAUUAUACUUUCAAUUUUCUUUCAUAUUUCAGUAUAUCUUUUUUCAUAUUAAGACAAUGUGCUUUAUCUUAAAUAUUACUAUUUAAAUUAUAGUGUUAUACUGCUAAUAUCUAACAUAUUAAGACUCAUUUAAUAUUUUCCUGAUGAAGACAUUGCACUUUAAAAAUCUCACCUAUUAAGACUUUGUAACUUUAAAAACUUCUACCAUUCAACCUUUUUCUUAUUAAAGCAAUAAACUUUGAAAAUCUAAUAUUAUUAGGACAACAUUUUAUUUUUGAAAUAUAACAUAUUUAAAUGUUAUCUUUUAACUUUUUUUUUUCUUAUUAGGAUAAUACAUUUUGAAAACAUUGUACCUUUCAAGUUUUUUCUUGUUAAGACUAACCUCUUUGAAAAUCUAAGAUAUACUUUUAUGAACAGGUUUGCCACAUGAAUAAGGAAAGUCAAAGAUGGAGUUCUAAUGUUUGUCCAACAGUGAUAAGGAAAAUGAAUCGCUUUGGAAAGAAUAUGAGGGUCGCUGGAGCUAGCGCUGAAACUGUCAACUGGGGGCAAUUGGCCUUCUUGUGGCCCCUCUGGUUGCAGUGGAAACACGGCAACUCAGACGUCUGGAUAACUGCUGCCGGAGCAGUGCAAUCCCUGCUAUAGUGUCCAGGCUUGCCGCACUUGUAGCAGCCUGAUGAUCCCAACCUGCAUGCCCCCUCGUGCGUCUUGCCGCAUUUCCUGCAGCGUCCCCGUCCCUGUUGCCGCAUUUCCUGACUGACCCUCUCCUGCCUUCCGUUUCCGGAUGUGCUCCAAGUCUAUCUCCCUCUCCCUUGCCCUGGCAAUCAUAGAGUCCAAGGUGAGGCAAGCUGAAAAACUAAGGGUCCUCCUCAUCGCCUGCAUACUGGGGCACCAACAGUGCCCUCUCCCGGAACUUGGCGGUGAUCUCCGCCACAUUCUCCGUCGUCUGUCUCAUGUCCAAAAACUCCCUGGCCAGCUGCUGAAGCUCGACAGCCGGCGCAAACUCCGCCCUGAACCUGGUCACAAAAUCCGACCAGGUCAUAGUCUCGAUAGCUGAGGCUCCCAACGAGUCACCCACUGACUCCCAACAAUCUCAAGCUCGGUCCCGUAAACAUCCUGCUGCAUACCUCACCUUCGACCCGAGGGGCAGAAGCUAGUCAACUGUGCAGACUCGAUGUCUGCAAUCCAUUGCCUAGCAGCAAUGGGGUCUUUCACCCCGUGGAAAUCUGGUGCACCACUGCCCCUGAAGUCCUUAAAGGACAGCGUGCGAGGCCCCGACUGGCCAGAUGCCAUGUCGCUCCUGAACGCCCUAAAGUGAUCCUCCAUCAACUCGAUGAUCCUCUCCUUGAUCGACCCAAAGAUGAUGGGGGUCGACUCAAUGAUGCCUCUGGUAAUCUCUCUGACGCGAUGAACUCGCGUAGUCCCUCAUCGACUGGCUCGGAACCUGAUCCCGAACCUGACCCCUCUCAUAAACCGCCAUCUAUCGGCCUCGAACGUAGUACCACCAUUCUGUAAUACAGGAAUAAUAAUUGUUAGUGAUACUAAUACUUCUUGAGGGAUCACAUCUACCACAAGUUCCCUGGUCUCAUCUUGGCCUCCCUUGGCUCGGGUACGGAUCCUCUGCUUUCAGUAGUACGGGCCCAUACUACCUUCAACAUCUAUCCGUACCUUCUCCAAGAACUGCCUCGACUCCACCAGAUCCUUUCCACUACGGCUGAUCACUACUAUACUCAUCCUAGGCUUGCCCUAGGGAAAUCUCAGGCUCCACCCUACCAGGUCCUCAGCUGCUGAAGGCCUCUUAGUAGUGCCAAUUGACCAUUACCUGAAUACCAUCACAUGUGGUUAGACUCGGAUAAUCCUUCGAGUAACAGGCUCAUCCCUACAACGGUUAGACUCAAACGAGAGCUGUGUAAUAGGGCCAAAUCCAACACUCUAAGAUUAUUCAACCCUGAUCACAUGUGACGUGACGUAUUCACCUAAUGGCUAACUCCCACCACUCAGAGUCCCACAAAGCACAAAGCAACCAUCAUUCGAGCUAAGGGAACAAUUUCAAGCAAAUCCGCUCUCAUAGAGAAGAACUAAUCUAGCAUACAGAGCUAAACUCAUAGUAUCAGGCAUAACCUAACAGGCUAUCCUAUUGCUGUCUACUCGACUCUAGCAUGCAAUUUUUUUUUAUACAGCUGAAACACAUAAAGCAGGCACAUAAGGCAUCGUUCCUAGAUCCUUAGUCAUAUUCUAGCAUGCUGUUCUACAAAAGCUGAUAAACAUAACAUAAACUUGUAUGGGUACUUUGGGGAAUACUUACUUGAGCUCGGCCGGUCGCGCACAUCACACACUUCGUUCUUUCUCAAAACUAUUUUCUCAUUUUUUUUCAAAACAUUUUCCUUUAGAAAAUCUUUCAAUCCCUCGAUCUGAGUUCAGACACCCCCGAAGGUGUGUCCUAAUCCCUCAAACCAAGGCUCUGAUACCAACUUGUAACGACCUAAUUUUCACGUCCAAAAAUUUUGUUUAUAAAUCAUUACUUGGAAAUCAUUAAUAAUUAAAACAUUGUAUAAUUAAACCAUUUUACAUUGAAAACCAAAUUGAAAUCCACAACAUUUAAACAACCAAAAUAUCAGAGUAUCAAUCCCAGAAUAAACUCAUAACUGCGGAAACAAAAGUGUGUGAUAUGCUGCUACCGAGCCUGCUCCUUCCCCUUGGCUAAAGAGGUACCUGAAACAACAACUGAAAAACGUAAGCACAAAGCUUAGUGAGUUCCCCCACUGUACCACAUACCAUAAUAAUCACAUAACAUACAUCUAUCGUCAGGCAUAUCUUGGUGCUCGACCUACCCCUUCGGUCCUUUGGACCGGAUGUUGCCUAGCAUACCUGGGUGCUGGCCUCCCCUUCGGUCCUCUCGACCGGAUACUGGAGACUACUUCUCCCCUCUACUACUACCACAUAACAUGUACCACAGUAUCAGAAUCUAUCUAGCAUGGCUGGGUAUAACUACCCCUUCGGCCCUAUUGACCGGAUGUCUUGGGACUAUCUCCCCUACUACCACUAACACAUAGCAUCACAUCAUACUAGCACAUAAGAAUGGAACAGGUAGUAGUAACCCUAGAUGAAUAUCACGGAGACAAUCAUCCACAUACAACUCCUACUGGUGGGCCGGCAUUGUGGCCGUAGACCCACCGCUACUGGAAGGUAACUCACCCCGAAGUAGUUGCUGGUCUGGUCGGGAACUGACUGCCUACUGCUGCUGCUGCUCCGGAAAUCCUCCGGCUGCAACUCCCACAACAUACUCAAUCAAUCACUGCUAACUGUCCUUUGGGUAAAAUGACCAUUUUACCCCUGAUCAUGUCAUAAGUCAAAGUCAAAGUCAACUUUUAGUUGACCCGACUCGCCGAGUUGGCUCUCCAACUCGCCGAGUCCCUAUCCAAUCGAUUGCCCUGGAUCUCGUCCCUACUCGUCGAGUUAGACGUUGACUCGACGAGUUCUCCUUCUAAAUUGAGGUUCAAGUCCUUCAUCCUACUCGCCGAGUUGUAUGAACAACUCGCCGAGUUCAUCUUCAUCCGAAGAACACAUAUGCUGCGACUCGCCGAGUUGUAUGAACAACUCGCCGAGUUUGUUCUUGAUCUAAGGAGAUUGCCUUGAACUCGCCGAGUCAGGGCAUUGACUCGUCGAGUUCCUCCAUGGAUGAGUUUGGCUUCCAACUCACUGAGUCACACCCCGUGACUCACUACUCCCACUCAAACAACGAAAAGGGGACAAACUCGGAGACUCGCGAGCAGACUCGCCGAGUUGUUACCAUGCAAUCACUAUAUGCUGGAUUCUGCUUGAAUCCAGCUUAUGCUAUCCACAGAACUGGGUUCCUAGAACAUGAAUAACACGUAAAGUUUUAGGGUUCAAAAUGCACCAAAUGAGUAGAUCUAGGGUCUUUAUGUAAUAUGGGUCCAUAAAGGCAGUAGAUCUGAGCUCUUGGAGCUCAACCAUGCCUAGAUCUAGAGGUCAAUCAGCUUAUUACGAAUUAUAUUGCACAUGCAAGCUUGGGGAAGGGCUCAAGAAGGACUUUAAUGGAGUAACAAGCAUAGAAACAGAGGGAAAACGAGUUAUACCUCCAAGAAAUUACUGAGAGAACACAAAGAUGCUUGACUUCCUUCCCUUCCUCUUGAUCUACUCCUCCUACUUCUCAAAAUCUUCAAGAAAACACACAAAAGGCCUCAAACUCACAAGAACAAGGGGUUAGAACAUAUGGAGAGCUCCUGAGGGUGAAGGGGGCUGGCUUAGGGCGGAAAUGAGGGCUUAAAUAGGGUGCAAACCCCUGAAACUUAGGGUUUCAUCAAACAGCGGUGACUCGCCGAGUCCAGGAUAUGGACUCGCCGAGUCGCCAACUUAAACAUGUCCCGGGUCCCGUCUCUACUCGGCGAGUCGGACCUAUGACUCGCUGAGUCCAAGGCUAAAAAUGGAAAUUACUCAAAUAAGAUUUACGUACCAGGAACCAAGUGCUACAUAUAGAACAAACAGGUAAAAUUUAUAUUUAUUAAAUUAUAUUAUAGAAUUAGGGAUACAUUUUACAAUUAUUUUCAGGUACAAUAUGAUAUUUGUUCCUUUCACUGCAAUAAACAAUCAUGAAAAGACAAUCAAUGUUGGAGUAGGACUAAUAUCAGAUGAAACAAUUGAAUCAUACUCUUGGUUAUUAGAAGCUUUUUUGUCAUCACAUAAGAAGAAACCAACAAUGAUUCUGUCAGACAUAGAUGUAGCAUUAUCUUCUUCAAUAGGAAAGGUGUUUCAAGGAUGUACUCACAGAUUAUGUAUGUGGCACAUAAUGUCAAAAAUGCCAUCAAAGAUUGACGCUGAUUUAGUUUCAAAUUCAGAUUUCAAGAAACGCAUAAAUCAACUAGUUUGGAAUAUGAAUAUUGAACCAUCAGAAUUUGAGAACAAAUGGGAUUUGAUGUUGAAUGAAUUUCAUUUGAAGGAUAAUAAAUGGUUGGCUGAUAUGUUCAACAAGAGAGAAAAAUGGAUUCCCUCAUAUUUCAGAGAUAUACCAAUGUCUUUUUCCUUCAACAUCUUCUCUGCAACUCUUUUGAGCAUGUCUUUUGACAAAUGGACAAUUUCUAGAAUCAUGUUGAACCAACGUAUUGCAAAAUUUACACAACCUCAUUUGUGUGUUAUACAUCUUAUUUUGAUGAAAAAUAUACAUUAUAUUGAAAUAUAUAUUAUUAGUUAUAACUUACACAUAAAUAUAUAUGCCACUAAUCUUCCGAAAUAUAUGUUAAGACUAUUUCAAAUCAUCAACUACAUAUUCAGAAUCAUUUUACUUAAAAAUAUUAAAUCUAAUGCGAUUGAAAAAUAUAAUAUUAGUUAUAACUUACACAUGUAUAUAUAUGCAACUAAUCUUCCGAAAUAUAUAAUAUUUUAUUACCUAGUAAAAUCUUUCAUUUAUUACUUAAAUCUAUUCAGAAUUAACAAUUAUAAAAAAUAUAAAUAUUCAUAAAUGCAGAAGUCAAAUCGACUUAAUUACAAUAAAUACAAACAAUCCUUUCAUAUAAAAAGCUUUUCAUCUAAUAGUAACUUUAUAUUUUAUAUUUAAAAAAAUGAAAAAAAAAAUAAUUACUAAAAAUAUAAUGUAAAAACUAUAAAUAAUAACAAGAUUAUAAUCUCAUUAUAACAUACAAAAAAAAUAUUUAUUUUAUUUAUAUCAAAUUAAUAAAAGAAGGUAAUAUAUACCGAUUUGUUUGAUAAAAUGCAAAAAAAAAAAAUAAAUAAAUAAAAUAAUAAUAAUAAUAAUAAUAAUAAUUCAUAAGAAGAUAAGGAUUAUCAUCUUCAAUGUAUAGAUACCAUGAUUACCUAAACCUACAACCGCCAUAAUAGACUAUAAUAUUUAUUGAAGCAAAUGAUGGCAGAAAAUUAAUUACCUACUCUACUAACUCCAAUUGUUACCGCUAUAUAUUCCUCCUCAACAUCACCAUAAACUUAAAGAAAAAAAACUAUCCAUUGAUGGCUUCUAAAUCAUCGCUUUGGGUAGUUCGGAACUCCUCGGAUUAUCUUGAUCUUUACGACAUAUAUGGGUGGGAAAACAAAA